CUUGAAGAAGAGUGCUGCCUUUGCACAAGGAAGACAGAUUCCACAGCAGUAUUUGGCAGGAACAAGAUAAAAAGAUACUGCAAAAAUGCAGUUCGUGCCGCUCCACAGGUCACAGAACGUGACCUGAGCUCUUCACCGUUGGCAUCCAAAGGUUUUCGUCGGGUCCUCAGGAGAAUGCCAUUGCACUGCUCUUUCAGCCAAACAGACCUACAGCAGUUUGUUUAUAUGCUCACCUCCUGAACACCAGAAAGAAUCGUGACCAAGAAGGUAAGGAUUUAUAGUCAUAGUUCCAAUUUAGGCUGAGUUUGAGUGGCUUAAUUUGCUUCAUUGAAAAAAAAGUCUUUUGCCGAGAUAUGAAGACUUUUGUAAGCAGAAACUGAAAAGGUCUCAUGGGGCUUUCAGUCUGUUGUUUUCCUUUGCCCUACUGGGGCUUUUCCUUAGGUUGUAAAUUCCAGCUUUCUCAUGUCAGAUUCCUCCUUUGUUGAGCUUUAAGGCAUUUCUGGAAUUACUCAGAAAAGGGACUUUGACAAUCCCCUGCCCUGUUCUUAGGUCAUAGAGCUGAUUUAUGGCUGGAGGAGGUUCUCUAAACAGUAGAUGAAAUAGGUGAAAUGUUAUCCAUUUAUUAAAGUGGGUUCAGGAGUUCCUCCUGCUGAUCAGGAGGGAGGUGUCCUAAAUAUAAUCAGCCCUCGAUGUAUCAACUUAUUGCUAUUUUGUGAGUUUUACUGCAG
rnacentral:lncRNA from 1 species